rnacentral:rRNA from 1 species
UACAGAGGCCUCGAGCGUUAGGCGGAAUCACUGGGCUUAAAGCGUGUGUAGGCGGAUUGCUAAGUACCUUGUGAAAUCCCACGGCUUAACCGUGGAACUGCUUGGUAUACUGGCUGUCUUGAGCCACUUAGGGGCGACCGGAACAAACGGUGGAGCGGUGAAAUGCGUAGAUAUCGUUUGGAACGCCAAUGGUGAAAACAGGUCGCUGGGAGUGUGCUGACGCUGAGACACGAAAGCCAGGGGAGCAAACGGG